GCCGGCGUAGCUCAGCUGGUAGAGCACCUGAUUUGUAAUCAGGUGGUCGGGGGUUCGAGUCCCUCCGCCGGCACCA
rnacentral:tRNA from 1 species